rnacentral:tRNA from 1 species
AGGCUUGUAGCUUGUGGUUAGAGCGCACCCCUGAUAAGGGUGAGGUCGGUGGUUCAAGUCCACUCAGGCCUACCA